rnacentral:rRNA from 1 species
UACGGGAAGGGCAAGCGUUUAUCCGGCGUGACUGGGCGUAAAGAGUCCGUAGACGGUAAAGUAAGUUUAUUGUUAAAUGUUAAAACUUAAUUUUAAUAGAGCAAUAAAUACUGCUUUACUUUGAGUUUAAUAUAGAAAAGUAGAAUUUUAUAUGGUAGGGGUGAAAUCCGUAGAUAUAUAAAGGAAUGUCAACAGCGAAGGCAAC